rnacentral:rRNA from 1 species
CAGCCGCCGCGGUAAUACGAAGGGUGCAAGCGUUAAUCGGAAUUACUGGGCGUAAAGCGUGCGUAGGCGGUUUGUUAAGUCUGCUGUGAAAUCCCCGGGCUCAACCUGGGAACUGCAUUUGAGACUGUAUGGCUAGAGUGUGUCAGAGGGGGGUAGAAUUCCACGUGUAGCAGUGAAAUGCGUAGAUAUGUGGAGGAACACCAGUGGCGAAGGCGACUCUCUGGUCUGUAACUGACGCUGAGGAGCGAAAGCGUGGGGAGCGAACAGGAUCAGAGACCCCCGUAGUCCCUGUCUCUUAUAC